AACGAACGCUGGCGGCAUGCCUAACACAUGCAAGUCGAACGAACUCUUCGGAGUUAGUGGCGCACGGGUGCGUAACGCGUGGGAAUCUGCCCUUGGGUACGGAAUAACUCAGAGAAAUUUGUGCUAAUACCGUAUAAUGUCUUCGGACCAAAGAUUUAUCGCCCAAGGAUGAGCCCGCGUAAGAUUAGCUAGUUGGUGGGGUAAAGGCCUACCAAGGCUACGAUCUUUAGCUGGUCUGAGAGGAUGAUCAGCCACACUGGGACUGAGACACGGCCCAGACUCCUACGGGAGGCAGCAGUGGGGAAUAUUGGACAAUGGGCGAAAGCCUGAUCCAGCAAUGCCGCGUGAGUGAUGAAGGCCUUAGGGUUGUAAAGCUCUUUUACCAGGGAUGAUAAUGACAGUACCUGGAGAAUAAGCUCCGGCUAACUCCGUGCCAGCAGCCGCGGUAAU
rnacentral:rRNA from 1 species